rnacentral:rRNA from 1 species
CAGCCCUAAACGAUGCGCGUUAGGUGUGUCGGUGACCACGAGUCACCGAGGUGCCGAAGGGAAACCGUGAAACGUGCCGCCUGGGAAGUACGGUCGCAAGGCUGAAACUUAAAGGAAUUGGCGGGGGAGGCACCACAACGGGUGGAGCCUGCGGUUUAAUUGGACUCAACGCCGGGAAGCUCACCGGAUAAGACAGCGGAAUGAUUGCCGGGCUGAAGACCCUGCGUGACCAGCUGAGAGGAGGUGCAUGGCGUAGUCGUGU